rnacentral:lncRNA from 1 species
CUCAAAAGCCUGAAGCAAUGACAAAGGCUGUUCAAAGUGCUGAGGAACCAAGGAAAUGUACAUAUUUGGCUUAAUUCAUAAAACUGUCAUUGAAGGCCAGCUAAGAAGACGAAGAUUUUUGUCCAGGAUCUGCAGCUGUGAGACCACAGAAAGUUUGUUGACUCAUGACCUAGAUGACUGCAAGAGCCUACAAUGAAGUCCCUCUGCAAACAGAAGCAAAAGGCACAGUCUGCUCCUCCUAAAGCAAGUCCACAUCUCUACUCCAGAAAAGAGCAAACUAUUUACAACUAUUUAAAUACAGCCUUUUCAUCUUAAAAAUUACAUUAAGUUUCUGGAAUUCUGAUAUACCCAAUUCCAAGUAAGCAUGCUUUGAGCUGAAUUGAGCCUUUAGGAGUUGGAAUAUUUGGGACCUAGUCCCCAACCAAGUCUUCAGGACUUCUCAAAUAAUUAAUUCAGGCCAUACAAGAGAUUUGGUGAAUGAUACAGAGCAGUAGAAGUCCCAUAAAUGGGGGAAAGAGAAGACAUAGGGGUUACAGGAGAGGAGAGAAGGGUAUUGUUAGGGAAGUACAUGAAGUCAUAAAGUAGCACUUACUGAAGACCUGGGAUUUUCUAAUUAAGCCCAAGCAAUUCUCCUGAAUUCAGUUCAAUUUAUGGGUUCGUAUGCUAAAGAAAAAAAAUAUCAAUUCAUCUUGAUACUAUUUUGAUCAUUAUUUCCACAUUCUGGAGGCUGGCAAGUUCAAGAUCAAGGUGCCAGAAGAUUUGGUGUUUGGAUGGUCAUUUUCUGCUGCUAUGGCCCAGUUUGUGCCUUCAAGGACUGACUGUGUAAAAAAGAGCCCAGAAACUCUUUGAACUGACUUACAGUAGCUUCUUCAGCAGUCAGCUGUAACGAUGGCUGGAGCACCUGGUACCUGAGUGAGGGCCAAGAAUGGGCUCUGCAUGUGCCCUCCCUCAACAAUUGCCCACCACCCAUUCUCACACAAAUGCAGUGGGGGAUGAACCUGUAGGGAUGGGUAAUCAGCCUGAAAGGAACAAUUUUGCAUAUGUGUAAAAUCUGAAAAAAUAAAUUAUUAUUCAUGGGAAACAUGCCACUAAUAUGAUAGAGAAGAAAAAGUUUGAUAUUUGGUGUCUGAACAUUUGGGUGUUUCCAGACCUAUCUCUGCCAUUUACUCUAUGAUUAAGACUUCACGACAUAAGUUUUCUGAGUCUCAUCUUCCCACCUCUUAAAGGUGCCUAAUGACAAUACCUGAAACCACUUUGCCAUAAAACAUUUACUGCAUAUUGUCAAUGCAUACUAGGUAUGAUACUAGGCACCAGCAAUAUAAAAACAAAUGAAAUGUGGCACCUGCUCUCAAGACUUGAAAGAAGCUAUAAUGUAAAGCAUCGAACUACAGGAGAAAAGUGGGAAUCUUUCCUUUUUCACAUCCAUAGUCACUAAGGCCAUUUGUCGACUGAGCAAAUGUAUAGUACAGAAAGCUGUUAGACUAAUAUCUAGUGAUUAAACUGUACUUAAGGGAGAGAAUGGCCUUUAAGUAGCAAAAAUCUCUCAUGGGUUAUUUUGUUAUUUAAAAGUGGCACUGGCGAGGGCUAGGAUAAAACAGUUAAACAGUUUUACCCAGGAAAUAAACCACAAUAUUGGAGAAGGAGGUUUAAAGUACUAGAAAAGAGAGAAGGAGGAAGAGAAAUAGUAAGAAUGCAGGCUGAGCUGAAAUAAUUUCCAUGAUCAGCUGUAAAGUUGCACACUUUUACAUGCAUACUCUGAUGUUGGAUUGUCAGUAAAAGUCUGCUAUCCACAAUUAUUAUCUUUGAGUUUGGGGAAAAUAAAUUAAAAGGAAAUGUUUGCCAAUCAUUGAUGAAUGGCAGUGGGAGAAGUGAAGAGAUGGAGAAUAAGAGAGACCUGAACCAGGGCCGGAAUCCCUGGAGUCCUCAUAGAACAUUAUAGGACAUUGAGAUCCCACCAUCUGUAGAAUAGGGUUUUAAGCCAAUGUAUACCUUAAUUGUGAUAAACAAGGGGAUCCCUGCAAGCUGAAGAUCCAGGGAACAGGUGGAGACAGACACAGAAGAAAUGAGGAAAUUAAUGAAUAAAAAGUCAAGAGCAUGAGAGGAAGGUAGACAUGACUUUGAAGGAAAGUCAGGCAAGAAUGUAUGGUUAUACUCUGUUGUCAGCAGGGAAUUACUUUAUAAAGUAGAAAGAGAAGCCCAAAGAGCAUCUUUUCCCCAGGGUAUAGUCAAGAGAAGAGAAGAGAUGGAAAGCCAUUUGGAAAAAGUGAUGGGGAAUUCAGGCAUCGGGUCAACACCAAGGUAAGUGGGAAGAACUCAGUGGGCCUGGCAUUGCUGGCAUAAAGAGAAGGUCCCUGAGGGCAGAAGGACACCUUCCAGACAGACCUGCUGUUUCUCCAAAGGGGUGCUUGCUUCACAUCCUUAUAUAUUUUUUUCCAGUCUUUACCUGAUGCCUGAGACCUGGCCCUUCUAAUUCUUUACACUGAAAGACCAGAAAAUUUUUUAAAAGAGAAAAAGAAAGAAAGAUAAAGAAAAAAGAAAGAAAGACAAGCAUAGCAUUUAUAGAAACAUGAGAACUUCUGCAGGGGUGCAGACCCAUCUUUGAAAAUGAUUCUUUGGAAGAGGCCUUUAGUGCCAAAUACUUGAGUUGCUGCCAGUCUGUUAUGACUCCUUCUUUAUCAUUUCCCCUCACAUGAGGCAGAUCGAGACAGAUCCACAUUCCUUCCCCUGUGUUUGGGGCCCACUCUCAGUCAUUGUCAGCUGCUGGUUUGCUGAGGUUCUUGGGGUUGAAAAAAUCCACCUGGUGGCUCCAUCUCUGUUUGCUGCAACAUUUAUGUAGAUGGGGUGUCAUCUGGGAGUCAUGGCAGCAGAGACACAACAAACAAAAGCAACCCACUGGCUUCCAGGGUGAACAGCAAAUUCCUCUUUAGCUCCCUAGAAUGUUUAUGGAGUAGCUGAGUAGCCACACAUCCUUGAUCCUCCAAAGCCAGAUAGUGGGCAGCUGUUGCAAAUUCUUUCUGAAGAGCUUAUACAUAAAAUAAUUCUUGCUGAACUUAACCAUAUCACCAUGAAAAAGGACAUUAAUCUCAUUUAUGAGGGCUCCACCUUAAUGAUCUAAUCGCCUCCCAGAAGCCCCACUUCCAAAUACCAUCACACUGGGGAUUAGCUUUCAACAUAUCAACUUUAGGGGGACACAAACAUUCAGAGUGUAGCAAUCCCUGUGCCCACUUUUUUUCCUCUAGGAUGGUCAUAUCACCAAAUGGUCUUCUGCUGCCAUUUGGUGAUAACUGUCCCUCUAUGUUCUCUCUUCCUUCCUUUCCUCCUUUCUCCUUUCUUCUUUCCUUCCUUCCUUCUUCCUUUCUCCUUUCUUCUUUCCUUCCUUCCUUCUUCCUUCCUUCCUAUGAAUUGAGCAACUAGUAGAUGCUAGGUCCUAUGAUUAGAAAUGAGAAUGUUACCAAGAACAAGGACAUUAUCUUUAUCCUCAUGGAACUCAGAGUUGAAUUGAAGAAAACAGCACACACAUGACCAAUAGAGAAAACACAGGCUAUGAAAAAAGGAAGAGUGAUUCCCUAAUCAAGCCAUGGGCUUUCAGGGAAAGCCUCCAUGAGGUAGUCAGGUCUGAGAUGGGCUUUAAAAAAAAAAAAGUCAAACAAAUGGAGAAAUGGUGAACAGGUAUCUUCCUGGAACACGGUACAUGUGCAGCCAUGAAGGAUCGAGAAAACCCAAGGCAUAUUUGAGGGCUGCCCAGCCAUGCAGGUGUAGAGUAUGCUUAUGUCUGAGGGGUGGGGCUUAGGCCCAGGCAGAAGUGAGACCAUAAAAUCAACUAAACAUGCAUUAAAGAUUGAAACCUAAGACCUGGAGCCAUAAAAUGCCUAAAAGAAAACAUGAAGGGGAAAAGCUUCAUGACCUUGGACUUGGCAAUAAUUUUUUGGACGUGACAUCAAAAGCGCAAGCAACAAAAGCAAAAUCAAACAAGUGAGACUGAACUAAAAUCUUCUGCACAGCGAAAGAAACAAUCAACAGAGUAAAAAGGCAACAUACAGAAUGGGAGAAAAUAUUUGCAAACCAAAGAUCUGACAAGGUAUUUAUAUCUAAGAUAUGUAAGAAACUCAAACAACUCAAUAGCAAAAUAAAUAAAUAAAUAACGAUUUAAAAAUGGGCAAAGGACUUGAGUAGACAUUUCUCCAAAGAUGACAUACAAAUGGCCAAUAGGUAUAUGAAAACAUGCUCACUAUCAUUAAUCAUCAGAGAAUGCAAUCAAAAGUACAAUAAAAUAUCAACUAUUAGAAUGUCUAUUAUCAGAAAAAAGAUAAAUGUUGGCAAGAAUAUAGAGAAAUUGGAACCCUUGUACACUGUUGGGAAUGUAAAAAUGGUGCAGUUGCUGUGGAAAAUAGUGUGAAGUUCCCUCAAAAAAUUAAACAUGGAAUUACUAUGUGGCCUAGCCCUCUCACUUCUAGGUAUAUAUCCAAAAGAAUUAAAAUUAAG